rnacentral:lncRNA from 1 species
GCCGCCGCCGCCGCCGCCGCCACCACCGCCACCACCGGGCGCGCCGCCGCCGCCACCGCCUUCUCCGGAUCCGCCGCCUCCGCCUCCGCCACCGCCACCACCGCCAGGCGCCCCGGACGUGUCCACGGCUCCGCCAGCCCCGCAAACACCUCAGGGCCCACUGUCUCCGUACAGUCCGGAUAUGAAGUUGGAGCAGCCUCCGCCGCCUCCGCCACCGCCUCCGCCGCCACCACCUGGGGCGCCGCCAUCAACGCCGCCUUUGCCUCCGCCUCCGCCACCGCCUCCGCCUCCUCCACCACCACCAGCUGUGCCUGAUAUGCCCGUUGCGCCGGCACUGCCGCCGCCGACCAACCCUGAUGCCCCGCCGCCAGAGCUUCCAUCCCAUGCGGCACCACCGCCUCCGCCACCUCCUCCCCCUCCGC